GACGAACGCUGGCGGCGUGCCUAAUACAUGCAAGUAGAACGCUGAAGAGAGGAGCUUGCUCUUCUUGGAUGAGUUGCGAACGGGUGAGUGACGCGUAGGUAACCUGCCUUGUAGCGGGGGAUAACUAUUGGAAACGAUAGCUAAUACCGCAUAACAAUGGAUGACCCAUGUCAUUUAUUUGAAAGGGGCAAAUGCUCCACUACAAGAUGGACCUGCGUUGUAUUAGCUAGUAGGUGAGGUAACGGCUCACCUAGGCGACGAUACAUAGCCGACCUGAGAGGGUGAUCGGCCACACUGGGACUGAGACACGGCCCAGACUCCUACGGGAGGCAGCAGUAGGGAAUCUUCGGCAAUGGGGGCAACCCUGACCGAGCAACGCCGCGUGAGUGAAGAAGGUUUUCGGAUCGUAAAGCUCUGUUGUAAGUCAAGAACGAGUGUGAGAGUGGAAAGUUCACACUGUGACGGUAGCUUACCAGAAAGGGACGGCUAACUACGUG
rnacentral:rRNA from 1 species